AUGACGUUGUACCGUAGUUUGGUUGAGGCAAAUUAUUAUUAUGUUCCAGAAAGAUUCAGCGUGGCGUCGUACAACAUACUGGGGGGAAGAAACGCUUCUCAACACUCGGAUUUAUACGUAAACGUUCCUUCUCGUUACAUCAACUGGGCUCAUCGCAAAAGGAUUAUUUCUGAUGAACUCUUUGGAUGGGACCCUGAUAUUAUCUGCUUGCAAGAGGUGGACAAAUAUUUUGAACUCUCAGACAUUAUGGUUAAAGCGGGAUAUGCAGGAUCUUAUAAGAGACGCACUGGAGAUAAAGCAGAUGGUUGUGCAAUGUUUUGGAAAGCUCAUAAGUUCCAGUUACUGGAAGGAGAGAGCAUUCAAUAUAAGGACAUUGGCUCAACUUUCAGUUUUUGAGAUGUGUAAAUCUGACUCAAGAAGACUGUUAGUUGGUAACAUCCACGUACUUUACAACCCAAACAGGGGAGAAGUUAAAUUAGGUCAAAUUCGUUUUCUCUUGUCAAGAGCACAGUACCUCUCAGAGAAAUGGGGUAAUACCCCUGUUGUGCUAGCUGGUGAUUUUAAUAGUACUCCUCAGAGUGGAAUAUAUAAGUUCUUGUCAUCAUCUGAGCUUAAUGUCUUGCUGUAUUACAGAAAGGAAUUAUCUGGACAGAAACGCUGUCGUCCUGCUCAAGUUUUAGGCGAGAAUAAACAAACAGUUGGUCCAAUUGUCACACUAUAUGGGGCUCAAAUUGUACACAGGGAUUCAAUGGUGAACUCUUGGCAACUUCCUAUCACUCAAAGUUUCUUGGCACUGUAGAUUACUUAUGGUACUCAGAUGGUAUUGUACCUUCAAGAGUUCUUGAUACUGUUUCAAUAAGUGAUCUCCUAAGGACAGGUGGCCUCCCAUGCAAGAAAGUGGGAAGCGACCAUUUGGCCUUGGUUUCUGAAUUUUCUUUCUCAGUUACCAACAAUGAACCUAAAGACAAAGUGGCAGCAGCAGCAGCAGCAUCACCUAUAGUAGAUAUUGAAGAGCCUAACAAUCAGCAGUCAUAAGAAAACAGCUCAGCAUUUGUGUUUGGAAACAGAUUUUUGCUAUCCUUGUUUACUUGUACUAUAGUUUGAAUUAUAUUUACUUAGCAUUCACAAAUUUUUCGAAAAAGGCUGUAAUUUAGAUAAAGGUUGAAGAUCAAGUUGUUAGAAUUUCUCAAUGUACCAUACUAAGUUAUAAAUUCGAAGUGCAAGGAAAAAUCUUAUUAGAAAUUGAAUUACUGCAUUAUUGGUUA